AUGACGUCAAGUCAUCAUGCCCCUUAUGUCCAGGGCUUCACACAUGCUACAAUGGUCGGUACAAAGGGCUGCGAUGCCGUGAGGUGGAGCGAAUCCUUUCAAAGCCGGUCUCAGUUCGGAUCGGGGUCUGCAACUCGACCCCGUGAAGUCGGAGUCGCUAGUAAUCGCAGAUCAGCAACGCUGCGGUGAAUACGUUCCCGGGCCUUGUACACACCGCCCGUCACGUCAUGAAAGUCGGUAACACCCGAAGCCGGUGGCCUAACCCUUGUGGAGGGAGCCGUCGAAGGUGGGAUCGGCGAUUGGGACGAAGUCGUAACAAGGUAGCCGUACCGGAAGGUGCGCUGGAUC
rnacentral:rRNA from 1 species